GGUCGAUGAUGUUAAACCAUAAUAUUUGCUACUCUUGAAGCACUUAAUGAUGAUACAAUCCAAAUGACUGAGACC